GGGUUGUAGCUUAGUGGUUGAGUAUCUGCUUUGCAUGCAGAAGGUUCCAGGUUCAAUUCCCAAUGACACCG
rnacentral:tRNA from 1 species